AACGCGUAAGAGGCAAGAUAACUGAAAACCUCUGUCCCUACUGUCUUCCGAGAGUUGUGGUUUGACCAGGCAGCCCCCUAUGCCGUUUCCAGACCCAGGCUUCCCUCUGCUUCUGCAGUUUCUCCAGACUCUUCAUGUUCUCCCUCAUUGACAAAGGGCAGUGGAUUUCUGGAAAUCUAUUUUCAGUAGACUUCAGUAACUCAAUUUUACCUAUCCACACUGUGUGGUAUAGUAUCAUCAUGUAAAAAUCAGAAGCAUCAAAAAUCAGACAAACCU
rnacentral:lncRNA from 1 species